GCUUCAAAGCAUUUAUCUGAAGCCGUGUCUAUAAGCAUAUAUGGUCGAACGCUCCAAAGUGCCGCGCUUUUUGAAACAUUGCCAACGAAUAAGAUUUACCAACGUUAAUUUAAAAGUUCUUCAACGUGAAACUGUUUCUAAUAGAUUCGAAUAAGUAGAACGGUGCAAUUAGAAUACAAUCGACUUGUAUUUAAUGAGUUUUAUUUCUGUAGAUUGCUGCAGCGAUACUUAAGUACCGAAAUGUAUAUGUAUGUACAUUUAAGUAAUAAUAACGAGCAAUAUUUAUGUACAAGUACACCGAAUUAUAAACACUAAACAUUCGUCACACCUUACGCAUAAUUCAUCUAAACCAAUUCAUUUGAAUGUUGUACCAGUCCUUUGUUUCAUUUUGUCCAAGUACUCUGUUUUUAUGUAAAACUACAAGAUCGGAGUGGAAUAUGGAAAAUUGUAUGUUUCCCUGUUUUGGCACAGCUCGUUACAAAAAGAAGAAAACGAAUACGUGUAACCGAACAAAAUAUAGGAUAAAAAGACAGCGUUUGGAAGAAAUAUUUCUAACGGUUAGCAACGACGUGUCGCUUUUUUGUUUACGAAAUAUCUGUUGAAAAAAAUGCUUCCUUCUUUUUUUUUUUUGCUUGGGAAAUAUUCGAUGUUCGAUAAAGCCCUUCUCUAGCUGAACGAUAUGUGUGCUAUUUAACAAUAAUAAUUCGAUUAUCGAUUCGUCGCAAGGUAAAAUGGGCACGCAAUUAUUUUACGAUUACCUUACGCAAUUAUUCAUUAAGCCUGCAUAAAUUGGUAAUAUUGGUCUCGCAUACAAAUACAUAAUACAGAAACCGACAUGCAAUUCUUUUUUAAAAGCGGGGUAUAUUACAAACUUAACAGUAGCGGUAGAUAUACCAAUAAUUUUAUGCAAUGUAUAUGUUACAAAAUUGUAUUCCCCCAUUUUCUUUAAUUAUUGGUUUUUUUAAACAAAGUCCAUUGUUCUCGUAUAUGUUUUUUUUUCAUUUUAUUUCUCUUCUAUUACGGAGUGAGUCAUUCGUCACUGUAAACAUUUGAAACACUGGUCUGUUUUUUUUUGUCACUUCGUCUAAUACUCUAAGAAUUCUCAUGGUAUACAUCCAUCGCAUUCACUCGCUUCUUCCUUUUCACAGUCGCAUACAUACACUCAUAUUUCUCUUUCUCUCUCUGUCUCUUUCACUCACGUGUAUUCCUCAUAACUAUACGUUUCUUGUUUUACUUGUAUAAAUCAAUCGAUCAUUAUUAGUGGUCACAUCGAUAAAAUCAUCAUUCAUAACAAACAAAUGAAAUCAUUGUAAAGUCUUAUAUUUAUUAUUUAUGUAUAAAUAUUGUUAAAUAUAUAUGUAUAUUAAAAAUUUGCUACACAUUUCACGAUUAUUUUACACAGAAUUCGUUAUUCUAUCCUGAUAAUGACUUAAAUCGAUUAAGUAACUUCUUUUUUUUUUGUUGUGGUUUGUUAACUGGACACGAACUCUUCUCGCAUCAACGAAGAUAGGAGACUAUGUAUACCCAAUGGCGAGACUCGAUUUUGAUCCUGUCGGUUCGCUCCUUUCCUUCUACAAAAAAAAAAAAGAUAUAAAAAAAGAAUCGAAAGAAGACGGAACCGCCGUUGCGAUCAGAAUCGAGUCGCGAAAUUCACGCAAGAAUAAUCGCUAUGUACUUUGUUACACGUCAAAUAAUGCGUUUUUAUAAAGAGCGAAAGAAAAGAGAAAAAAGAACGAAAGGAAACGGUACAAUGAACCGAUAUGCUGCGCUUCUAGAAAUUGAGUCACGACGUCACGGUAUAAAAAUCUAAACUGACCUUACUGUGUACUAAAAAAUAUAAUUGUUUUACCGCCAAGCGAGACAAGCUCGAUUCUUUAUAAUCAUCGGCAGCAAGAGUGCUGCUCAGCGAUUGUACCUCUACGCGUUCGGU